rnacentral:rRNA from 1 species
AGCCUGGUCAUCAGAGCGAUGUGGUCCCACCUCUUCCCAUUCCGAACAGAGUCGUGAAACAUAUCAGCGCUGACGAUAGUGUAGGGGCAACUCUAUGCGAAAAUAGGUCAUGACCAGACU